AUGAUCCAUCCAUUCUUCCUACUGAGUUCUCACAAGAACUACAACAACACGAGAGAGCAUCAAUCUAAAUCAACAGAUCAAGACAAGCAGCGAAUCCAUGGGAGCGGGGAUGAAGCGCGCCAGGGAGGAGCCAGUUGUGUCGCUGGCGCUGUCCCUCAGCACAGAGUCAUCGACGACAUCCACCGCGACGUCGGACAACUCGACCGGUGCACCGGCGACAAGGAAGAGGGUGCGGCGGGGGAGGGUGGUGGUGGCGUCGGGGCAGAGGGAGUUCGUGUGCAAGACAUGUGGCCGGGUGUUCGAGACGUUCCAGGCGCUGGGCGGGCACCGGACAAGCCACCUCUGUGGCCGCCACGGGCUGGAGCUCGGCGUCGCCGUCGCCAGGGCCAUCAGGGAGCAGCAAAGGCGCGAGGACAAGCAGCAACACGAUUGCCACAUCCGCGGGCUGGGCUUCGAGACAGGCCAGGCUCUCGGCGGCCACAUGCGGUGGCACCGCGAGGAGAUGGCGCUCGACCGGUGGGUCACGCUGUCGGAUCAAGAGGCGGGGCACCAGACCGCCGCCGACCGGCUGCCGGUCUUGUUCGAGCUAUUCGUCUAGUCUGCUAG
rnacentral:rRNA from 1 species